GACUGACUGUACGUUCCAUCACUAAGGCCUGGCCUGGCGGACCGGGAGCGGGUCCGAAGAGGGUCCCCUCCGGGCACGUGUUCCCGGGUCUCCAGGCAUGCUAGGGCCAAGACCUUGAGGCUCACUCAACAGGUGCCCCACAUUUCUCGGUGGUGGUGGUGAGGGGGUGCAGCCCCAUGCCCCAACCUCAACACCCCAACAGACAUGCUACGUCAGUGGUCCGUGCAGUCAGGGCAGGCCCCCGGGGAGCCGGCCGGCGAGGAGCUGUGGGAGCAGGAGAUGGAGCGGCUGUGUUCCUCCAGGGUGCCCGUGCGGACGCUGCCCUACGCCAUGGCGGACAGGCGCAUCCUCCGGCAGCUGCGCGAGCCCGAGGGGGUGAAGACCUCAUGCUGGCAGCGGUGGCAGCGCAGGCAGCAGACUGCAGGACGGCGCCUGGGGGAGGCAGCACAGCGGCUGGCCCAGGGCUUUGGGCUCUGGGAGGGGGCACUCUACGAGAUCGGGGGCCUCUUUGGCACUGGGAUCCAGUCCUACUUCACCUUCCUUCGCUUCCUGUUGCUGCUCAACCUACUGACCCUGCUUCUGACCUCCAGCUUCGUCCUGCUGCCCCUGGUCUGGCUCCGACCCCCUGACCCAGGCCCUGCCCUUAACUUCACCCUCCAGUGCCCUGGUGGCACCCAGCCCCAGACGGGUGUUCCCAGUUUCCAAAGUCAACUUUGGAGUGUUCUAACUGGCAGGGCCUUCAACAACACCUACCUCUUUUAUGGCGGGUACCGGGUGGGCCCCGAGAGCAGCUCUACAUACAGCAUCCGCCUGGCCUACCUCCUGAGCCCCCUGGCCUGCCUGCUCCUCUGCUUCUGUGGCAUUCUGUGGCGGAUGGUGAAGGGGCUGCCUCAGAAGCUGUUCCUGGGCCAGGACUACAGGUCACCUCUCAGUGCCAAGGUCUUCUCCUCCUGGGACUUCUGUAUCCGGGGGCAGGAAGCAGCCACCAUCAAAAAACAUGAGAUCAGCAACGAGUUCAAGGUAGAGCUGGAGGAGGGGCAUCGCUUCCUGCUGGUGCAACAGCAGACCCGGUCCCAGAGAGCCUGCCACCUGCUCACCUGCCUGCGGGUCAACAUCCUCAUUGGCCUCCUGGUGGUCGGGGGCAUCAGCGCCAUCUUCUGGGCCACCAAGUUCUCGCAGGACAACAAGGAGAAGCCCCUGUUUGUGCUACUCCAGUACCUGCCCUCUGGGGUCAUCUCUCUGGUCAACUUUCUGGGGCCUCUGAUGUUUGUUUUCCUGGUCCAGCUGGAGAACUACCCUCCCAACACUGAGGUCAACCUCACCCUUGUGUGGUGCGUGGUGCUCAAGCUGGCCAGCCUGGGAAUGUUCUCCAUCUCCCUGGGCCAGACCGUGCUGUGCAUCGGCAGAAACAAGACCAGCUGUGAGUCCUACGGCUACAACGCCUGCGACUACCAGGUAUGCUGGGAGAACUCAGUGGGGGAGGAGCUGUACAAGCUGAGCAUCUUCAAUUUCCUGCUCACCGUGGCCUUCGCCUACCUCGUCAGCCUGCCUAGGAGGCUGCUGGUGGAACGAUUGUCAGGCCGGUUCUGGACCUGGUUGGACCGGGAGGAGUUCUUGGUGCCCAAGAACGUGCUGGACAUUGUCGCGGGGCAGACGGUCACCUGGAUGGGCCUCUUCUACUGCCCCCUGCUGCCCCUGCUCAACAGUGUCUUCAUCUUCUUCACCUUCUACAUCAAAAAGUACACCCUCCUGAGGAACUCCAAGGCGUCCCCUCGCCGAUUCCGCGCUUCCAGCUCCACCUUCUUCUUCCAGCUGGUGCUCAUCCUGGGCCUGCUUCUGGCUACCGUGCCUCUGGGCUACGUGGUCAGCAGCAUCCACUCCUCCUGGGACUGUGGCCUCUUCGCCAACUACUCUGCCCCCUGGCAGGUGGUCCCGGAGCUGGUGGCCCUGCGGCUGCCGCCCUCUGGCCAGCGUGCCGUCUACUACCUGGGCUCCCACGCCUUCCGCUUUCCCCUCCUCAUCCUGCUCAGCCUUGUCCUGACCGUGUGCAUCUCGCAGUCCCAGGCCAACGCAAGGGCCAUCCAGGGCCUCCGGAAGCAGCUAAAAUGGCAAGUCCAGGAGAAGUGGCACCUGGUGGAGGACCUGUCGCGGCUGCUGCCGGAGCCGGGCCUCGGCGACUCCCUGGGGCCCGAGUCCCCUCACAGUCGAUCUUCGCGCCCUCGAUCCUUCUGCCCCGGAUUCCCGUGCCCGGGAUCCCCGGGCCCCAGGGCCCCCAGGCCGGGACCCCUCCUCGCGGAUGCCGCCUGUAGAUUCCGCUUCCCCAGCAGCACUGAUCAGUAGUGCCGACCCCCGCCUCCGCCCAGAGCCUCUCCAGGGUCAGACCUGCAGCCCCCGUGCCCCACACUCCUGCCCCCUGGUGACCACCAACCCCUCUCGGUGGGCUCCUCAAAACGGGGCUCACACACCCAAGGGCAGAGGAAGAAAAUAUGGGGACUUGUGUUUGUAUUUUGAUCUCAUUACUUUUUUGUCGAACGUUUUAUAAUGUGCAUAAUACAGUAGUAGUACAGUAACCCAUGAAUACAAUUUGUAAAGAUACAUCCAUUGGAAGUGCUCCGAAAUUGUUAACUGUGGGACGUGCCAUCACAAAAUUUGGAGACCUCCAACCUGUGGGAAGGGACGACCUGGCCGCUGUUAGAGCAAACCUGCACUGGGGGUUUGCGGUGUUCAACUGCACGUGCCCUACAGAACCUUCCGUCACGCCUUCUAAACAUGUGAGGAGAUGGAGACCCACAGAAGUACCGCCUGCAAGGGGCAGAGCCAGAAUCUGACCCCUGGGCACUGGGAUCCAGAGACACACCGCAGCAGUGUGGGGCUUAGCGGUGAUCCCCACCCUGACCCCAGGGACUUACAGCGCUUAUGUGAACCUGCGUAACAGAAGUUCUGACGUUGUCCUCUCCCUAGCAGGAUCCCUCACCACCCAGAAUUCUAACCCAGCAACCCCACAUCAAAACAGGGGGCGUCCUCAGGCUGCCACCCCCCACAAUGCCUUCUGUAGAGUCUGUUCUGCCCUCUCUGUGUCCCCCAGUUGAGCCGACCUUGAGGAAUGCUGGAGGUAAAGAUGUCCCACCAGGGCCUGGAAGUGGCGGAGCGGGGGUGCCUCCCAAGGCUGGGUCCGAGAUUCCUGCGCCUUGUUGGAGCCUCCGGCCCCAGGUUGCGGUGACUCAAUCUAGGGACCUCAGCCGUGGAGAACACCUGAGAAGCUGUCAGAAGUGGCCCCAUGCCAGCGACUCCAAUGCGAUUGAUCCAGGUGCUGCCAGCAGCCAGGCCUCGGGACUUUCUGAAACUCCCAGGUGACUUUCCCACAGCCGGGAUUGAGAACUGGUCUAAAUAACCAUCAGGAGUGAAGGCAGGGGAAACCCCAGGACGUGUUUAAAAGCCACCCUAUUUCCACCAGGGGCCCAGGAUUCCAGGCCAUGACACAGAGCCUGGGCAGCUCUGAGCUGGUGCCCUCAGGCCAGCAGCUUCGUAUGGUCAUUAAAGUGCUUCUUGUCGCUGUCAUCUCACUCACCCAGCAUCACAAGACCCAUCCGCCUGUCAUCACGUGCCAGGCCCUGUUCUGGGGCUGGCGAUGAGCUCUGUCUAGGGAGGGUGACUGGCUUGGCCCACAGGAAAGUGACUGUUAAUUAGCAACUUAAGACCAAAGUGUGCUCCCUGAACCAGCCCCAUCAGCAUCAGCUGGGAACUUGUUAGAAAUGCAAAUUCUCAGGCCUCACCUGGCCUCCCAAAUCAGAAACUCUAAGGGUGGGGCCCCCUGGGUGAGCCCUUGGGAUGGUGCUGAUGGGGACUUCAGUGAGAGAACCACUGCACAGAACCAUCAAGGUCCUUUUCUUAGCACCUUCAUGUCCCUCCAGUGAACAUGUACUGAGAACUGGCCAAGUGCAAGGCCAGGCUCCCUAGGCGAUGUGAGGGACAGGACAAGCUUGGAGGCCUUGGGCAAACCAGCAAACUUGGGGCCUCAGUGUGCUCAGCCACUGAGCAGUGGGGAUGACGCCACCGUCCCCUGAGUGGUUGUGAGGAUUUAAUCAGCAAUUACUUACAAAGUGCCCCAAUGGGUGCCUUGCCCUUCCUAGGAGUGUGGUCAAGGUCCUAUUCCAAUUUUGUCAUUGGCCUCAAGAGACAAGUGGUCAAGAUGAGAAGUGGGCCUGAGAUCCCCUAUGAUCACAACCGUCCAGCAAGACAACCUGGGUUGGGGGAGCCUCAGAGGAUGAGCCAUCCUCCCAGCAGGAGGUUUCACAGAGCAAGCCACCAGAAGCUUCUCUGUGGAGCAGGAGGUAGGUGAGUAGCCCAGCAGGUGGGAGGGAGAAAGGCCCCUCACUCAUGGUGGGUGCCUUGGCUGAGGGGCGUUUGCUGCUGGUGAGGGAGUAUCUGCUGGUGGGCAGUUGAUCAAUUCUAAAGCCUCCAUUCCUGCAGGGCCCUGGGGGGCGGGGAGAAGAGAGGAGACUGGCAGGGGGCACCUCCAGGGGACAUGGGGGAACAACAGGGGACAUGAGGGAGCAAAAGUGCUUGACUUCCUGUUGGGGUAUGUGUGUGUGUGUGUGUGUGUGUGUGUGUGUGUGUUGGGGGGUGCUGGGGAAGGGGGCAGGAGGGCGUGUCCCUGGGCAGGUGUACCCGAAUCUCUCUACCCCAGAUCUGGAGCAGAAUCCCCUCUGGGAGCCCCACAGCUCCGCCAGGUGGGUGUGACCCCAGAGAGGGUUGGGGGCAUUCUGGUGCAGCGCCUGGUCCAGGAGGGUGGCGUUGAGCGAAUGGGGGAUUCCAGGCUCCCUCCGAAGUCCAGCCAGGGGAGGCCGCCUCACUCUCAGGGGCAGCAGGAGAGAGCCCGGGCCUGCUUUCCGUGCAUCGCGGGACGGUGCAGAGCGAGGGAGGAGCCGCCCCUGGUCUGGACUCUGCUCAGCUUUGCCUCUCUCCACUGUUCUGCUCCCCUCCCUCUCCUGUCCCCUCCCCUGCCCCCAUUUGUAGCCCUGUGACUCAUAAAGUCAAGGUGAUGGGUCACCCCCUCCUCUCCACUGCUCUCCCCCGUCCGGUCCCAAUGGGUACCUUCCUUGGUCGCAGGGUGGAAGAGAAGGCUUCCUCCUCGGUUCCACUGAAGGGCGGGUCUCACUUGCAUGCGGCACAGGCUGAACUAUCAUUUCCUCAUUUGCUUUAAAAACAAGCACAUUGUGGUGUUUCCGCUAAAAAAAAACAACAAAAAAACCCGACAGCUGAGUGGCUGUGCAGACCUCUGGGUCUCCGGGAAGAACCUGGGCAGGGCUCAUCCCCUCGCUCUCGGGCCCCUGACUUUGCUCAGACACUUGCCAAGCAAGUCCUGCUAACUCAACUCCUAAGAGACAGACUGGUAAAAACCAUUUCUCCAUUCAUUUUCAUUCAACAUGGCUGAACCUAUUUGGUGCAGGCUCUGCUCUAGGUCCCAGGAUGGAUACACAAAGUGCAGAGAGAAAACAAAGACCCCUGUUCCCGUGUAGCUUACAUUCCAGUGCGGCUGGGGGGACAGGUGAUAAUAAAAUGGAGCAUGCUCUGUAGUGUGCUAGGAUGUGAUCUGCCCUAGAGAAAAGGACGCUGGGAGGAGGGAAAGGAACAUGGGUGGGGAUGGGGCGCGAGGGCAGCAUUUACUGAGAAGUUGUCACUCAGAAGAGGACACCCAAGCGAAGACAUGUACAGCAGGACGUGCCUGGACAAGGGCCUGCAUGGCCGGAGCACAGGAAGCAGGAAAGGGGAGAGUCGGGGGAGGUAAGGAGGGUGGGAGAGGGUUGGGUAGGGAGGGCUUAUGGACAUAGCUGUGGGACGGUCUGCACAGAAGACAGGAUCUGAUAUAACCAUCAUGGGGUCCUUUCGGCUGCUGUGUUGAGAAGCGUCACAUGGGGGUCAAGGGUCAUUAGGCUGUUCCCCAGAAUCAAAGGAGAGACGUGAUAAGGCAGAGAUUGGUCGAGAUAUAGUCUGAGGGUCAGGCCAGCUGCACUUGCUGACGGAUGGAGUGGGACGGGAAAGACAGAGUAACGGAAGAUGACCCCAGGGUUCCGGGCUGAUCUCCUGGAAGGAUUAGCUGAAGUGCAGCCUUCCAAUGGCGUCUCACACAGCUGAACCGGCUUCAGUGGGAGCAAGAAGUUGGGCGAAAGAUACUGAAUGUUAAGGAAUUGAAGAGCCAAGAUAUUGGAAACAUUAUCUGUGUAUUUUGAAAUCCCCAAGAAUCAUGGCAGCUGUAGUAAUGAGAGUACAGUCAUGCACCACUUAAUGACAGGGACACGUUCUGAGAAAUGCUUCAUUAAGGCGAUUUCGUCGUGCAAACAUCACAGAGGCACUUUCACACCUGGAUGGUGUCGCCUACUGCACACCUAGGCUACGUGGCACAGCCUAUUGCUCCUGGGCUACAGGCCUGUACAGCACGUUACUGUACAA